rnacentral:rRNA from 1 species
GAUGAACGCUGGCGGCGUGCCUAAUACAUGCAAGUCGAGCGAAAAGAUGAGGAUCUUGCUCGUCUGACGUUAGGGGAAGGCGGGUGAGUAACACGUGGAUAACCUACCUAUAAGUCUGGGAUAACUUCGGGAAAGCGGCGCUAAUCCCGGAGAAUAUAUUGAACCGCGUGGGUGAUUGGUGAAAGACGGCUUUGGGGGCACUUAUAGCUGGAUCCGCGCCGCAUUGGCUAGUUGGUAAGGUAACGGCUUACCAAGGCAACGAGGCGUGACCGACCUGAGAGGGGGAUCGGCGACCCUGGAGCUGAGACAGGGUCCAGACGCCUAAGGGAGGCAGCAGAAGGGAAUCGGACGCAAUGGGCGAAAGCCUGACGGAGCAACGCCACGUGAGAGAUGAAGGCCUCCGGUGCGGAAUACUCGGUUAUGAGGUAAGAACAAAUGUGUAAUGAACUAUGCACUUCUUGACGGUAACGAAUCAGAAAGCCACGGCUAACUACGUG